rnacentral:rRNA from 1 species
AUUGAACGCUGGCGGAAUGCUUUACACAUGCAAGUCGAACGGCAGCACGGGGGCAGCCCUGGUGGCGAGUGGCGAACGGGUGAGUAAUACAUCGGAACGUGCCCGGUCGUGGGGGAUAACGUAGCGAAAGUUACGCUAAUACCGCAUACGAUCUGAGGAUGAAAGCGGGGGACCUUCGGGCCUCGCGCGAUCGGAGCGGCCGAUGUCAGAUUAGGUAGUUGGUGGGGUAAAGGCCUACCAAGCCGACGAUCUGUAGCUGGUCUGAGAGGACGACCAGCCACACUGGGACUGAGACACGGCCCAGACUCCUACGGGAGGCAGCAGUGGGGAAUUUUGGACAAUGGGCGCAAGCCUGAUCCAGCCAUUCCGCGUGCAGGACGAAGGCCUUCGGGUUGUAAACUGCUUUUGUACGGAACGAAAAGGCUCUGGCUAAUACCUGGGGCUCAUGGCGGUACCGUAAGAAUAAGCACCGGCUAACUACGUG